rnacentral:rRNA from 1 species
CGGACGGGUGAGUAAUGUAUGGGGAUCUGCCUGAUGGCGGGGGGAUAACUACUGGAAACGGUAGCUAAUACCGCAUAAUGUCUACGGACCAAAGCGGGGGACCUCCGGGCCUCGCGCCAUCAGAUGAACCCAUAUGGGAUUAGCUAGUAGGUAAGGUAACGGCUUACCUAGGCGACGAUCCCUAGCUGGUCUGAGAGGAUGAUCAGCCACACUGGGACUGAGACACGGCCCAG